UACGUAGGGGGCUAGCGUUGUCCGGAUUUAUUGGGCGUAAAGAGCGUGUAGGCGGCCAUGUAGGUCCGGUGUGAAAACUCGAGGCUUAACCUCGAGAUGUCAUCGGAAACCAUUUGGCUAGAGUCCGGAAGAGGAGAGUGGAAUUCCUGGUGUAGCGGUGAAAUGCGCAGAUAUCAGGAAGAACACCAAUGGCGAAAGCAGCUCUCUGGGCCGCAACUGACGCUGAGGAGCGAAAGCAUGGGGAGCGAACAGG
rnacentral:rRNA from 1 species